rnacentral:rRNA from 1 species
GACGAACCGUCCAAACGUUAUUCGGAAUUACUGGGCGUAAAGCGUGCGCAGGCGGUUCGUUAAGUCAGAUGUGAAAGCCCCGGGCUCAACCUGGGAACUGCAUUUGAAACUGGCGGGCUUGAGUGUGGCAGAGGGGGGUGGAAUUCCGCGUGUAGCAGUGAAAUGCGUAGAGAUGCGGAGGAACACCGAUGGCGAAGGCAGCCCCCUGGGCCAACACUGACGCUCAGGCACGAAAGCGUGGGGAGCAAACAGG